rnacentral:rRNA from 1 species
ACGAACGCUGGCGGCGUGGAUAAGACAUGCAAGUCGAACGAGAGAAUUGCUAGCUUGCUAAUAAUUCUCUAGUGGCGCACGGGUGAGUAACACGUGAGUAACCUGCCCCCGAGAGCGGGAUAGCCCUGGGAAACUGGGAUUAAUACCGCAUAGUAUCGAAAGAUUAAAGCAGCAAUGCGCUUGGGGAUGGGCUCGCGGCCUAUUAGUUAGUUGGUGAGGUAACGGCUCACCAAGGCGAUGACGGGUAGCCGGUCUGAGAGGAUGUCCGGCCACACUGGAACUGAGACACGGUCCAGACACCUACGGGUGGCAGCAGUCGAGAAUCAUUCACAAUGGGGGAAACCCUGAUGGUGCGACGCCGCGUGGGGGAAUGAAGGUCUUCGGAUUGUAAACCCCUGUCAUGUGGGAGCAAAUUAAAAAGAUAGUACCACAAGAGGAAGAGACGGCUAACUCUGUGCCAGCAGCCGCGGUAAUACAGAGGUCUCAAGCGUUGUUCGGAAUCACUGGGCGUAAAGCGUGCGUAGGCUGUUUCGUAAGUCGUGUGUGAAAGGCGCGGGCUCAACCCGCGGACGGCACAUGAUACUGCGAGACUAGAGUAAUGGAGGGGGAACCGGAAUUCUCGGUGUAGCAGUGAAAUGCGUAGAUAUCGAGAGGAACACUCGUGGCGAAGGCGGGUUCCUGGACAUUAACUGGCGCUGAGGCACGAAGGCCAGGGGAGCGAAAGGGAUUAGAUACCCCUGUAGUCCUGGCAGUAAACGGUGCACGCUUGGUGUGCGGGGAAUCGACCCCCUGCGUGCCGGAGCUAACGCGUUAAGCGUGCCGCCUGGGGAGUACGGUCGCAAGAUUAAAACUCAAAGAAAUGACGGGGACCCGCACAAGCGGUGGAGUAUGUGGCUUAAUUCGAUGCAACGCGAAGAACCUUACCUGGGCUUGACAUGUAAUGAACAACAUGUGAAAGCAUGCGACUCUUCGGAGGCGUUACACAGGUGCUGCAUGGCCGUCGUCAGCUCGUGUCGUGAGAUGUUUGGUUAAGUCCAGCAACGGGCGCAACCCCUGUUGCCAGUUACCAGCACGUGAAGGUGGGGACUCUGGCGAGACUGCCCAGAUCAACUGGGAGGAAGGUGGGGACGACGUCAGGUCAGUAUGGCCCUUAUGCCCAGGGCUGCACACGUACUACAAUGCCCAGUACAGAGGGGGCCGAAGCCGCGAGGCGGAGGAAAUCCUGAAAACUGGGCCCAGUUCGGACUGUAGGCUGCAACCCGCCUACACGAAGCCGGAAUCGCUAGUAAUGGCGCAUCAGCUACGGCGCCGUGAAUACGUUCCCGGGUCUUGUACACACCGCCCGUCACAUCAUGGAAGCCGGUCGCACCCGAAGUAUCUGAAGCCAACCGCAAGGAGGCAGGGUCCUAAGGUGAGACUGGUAACUGGGAUG